AGAGACUGCACCGGAGCCCGCACACUCAGGGGGUCCAUCAGGUGGCCAUACACUUAGGGCCACCCAAUGGCAAAAGUGUUUUCAGUAGCCAGGUUACACGCUGCGGCCCUUAACAGUGCAGCUAGGCCCCUGUAAUCUUCCUCCCAGAAAACACAGAGCCGGAUGGGAGGAUGGCAGAGAGGAGGUUGUGGAGUGGGAGAACCUCUGACUCUCAACAGCCUCAGCCAGUCUAUUGGACCCCAGGGAAGCAACCCUCUUGCACCCAAAAGGUAGGAAACAGGAGGGUGGCUCAAAAUGUUUACAUUUUGCAUGUAUAUGUGUGUCAGUGAAUCUAUGUGUCUGCGUGUGUAUCUUUGUGUCAAUGUGUACUCCAUGUAUCUGUGUGUCUGUAUAUGUGUAUUAGUAUUUGCAUGAGUAUCAUUGUGUGUAUCUGUGUGUGUGUCUG